rnacentral:rRNA from 1 species
AUCAAAUGAGAGUUUGAUCCUGGCUCAGAACGAACGCUGGCGGCGUGCCUAACACAUGCAAGUCGAACGGAGUUAAUC